rnacentral:rRNA from 1 species
AUUAGGGUGAAGUCGUAACAAGGUAGCCGUAGGAGAACCUGCGGCUGGAUCACCUCCUUUCUAAGGAAUA